UGUCUGUUCGGGUGAUAAAUAGAUAUAACUCGUUAAAAUAACAGUUCUGCACUGUAUCUUCUCAUUUUGUGUAAAGAAAAUUAGUGAAUUAAAGGACAUCCAUACCAAAUA